rnacentral:rRNA from 1 species
UACAGAGGGUGCGAGCGUUAAUCGGAAUUACUGGGCGUAAAGCGUGCGUAGACGGCUAUCUAAGUCGGGUGUGAAAUCCCCGGGCUCAACCUGGGAAUGGCAUUUGUGACUGGAAGGCUAGAGUGUGUCAGAGGGGGGGUAGAAUUCCACGUGUAGCAGUGAAAUGCGUAGAGAUGUGGAGGAAUACCGAUGGCGAAGGCAGCCCCCCUGGGAUAACACUGACGCUCAUGCACGAAAGCGUGGGGAGCAAACAGG